rnacentral:rRNA from 1 species
CAGACCUCUAAUCGGAAAAGACUACCCGCUGAGUUUAAGCAUAUCACUAAGCGGAGGAGAAGAAACUAACCAGGAUUUCCCUAGUAACGCG